AGAGCAGGUCGGGCGGUUGCUGCCGUGCUUGAAAGAGCGCGGGAGAGGAAAGUCCGAACACUAUAGGGCAGCGAGCCCGCUAACGGCGGGGCGCUCGGAAGUUCAGGGGCCGUUUCGACAGCGCCGGUGUUUCCGGGUGACGACAAGUGCAACAGAAAAAAGACCAGCCUCUUUGCGAGACCUGCGGGCGCUUAAAGCGUCUCCUCGCGUUGCGGUGAUGGGUGAAAUGGUGCGGGGGCGCUUGCCGCAGGCAAGAGCGUCCCAAAGGUAAGAGCGCACCGGCGCGUGUGGUGACAUGCGCGGCCAGGCAAACUCCUCGCAGUGCAAGACCAAAUAGGGAGGCCGUCAGCCAGGGCUGCCCGUCCAAAGUCGCGCCGGUCUUCGGAUCGCGUGCGCUACGCCUCCGGGUAGGUCGCUUGAGCCGUUUGGCAACGAACGGCCUAGAUGAAUGAUCGCCGCCCCGCGCACACUCCGGUGGGCCGGGGCACAGAAUUCGGCUUACAGACCUGCUCUCGAC
rnacentral:RNase_P_RNA from 1 species